CUGGCCAAUGGGCGUGAGGCGCGGGGGGGCGGGCCGACACCCGGGGCCGCGUUUCCCGCCGUCCCCUCCCCCUCCCGCCGAGGCCCGACCGGGGCUCGGCGGGGGCCGGGCCGGGCUUAUUAAUCAGGGGCUCGUUGUGGAUACGGGCGGGGGCGAUGCCACCCUGGGCGGGAAGCUGGCUACGAAGGAGGCGGGUGUGGGGUUUAUGCUCCUGCCUCGCGCCCUGCUAACUGGCCCCAGGCUUCCGCCGGCGAGGGGGAACGGGGGCGGGAGGACGGAGCCGUUGCGGGGCGGCGAUCGGACCCCAGCAGUCGCGGUGGGCGCGCGGCGCAGGGCGGUGCCCGCCGUGGGUGGUAGGCUCGCGGCCCGGCUUGUUUACGAACAUCGCUGCCUGCGAGCUAUGGGUUGAUAGCAGCUCCAUGUUUUUUUGAUUUUUUUUUUGUUUUUUGUUUUUUGUUUUUUUGCCUGCGGCGAGCCGUGUGAGGGGCGCCCCGGAACCGCCCCACCCUCCGCGGGCGCCCGCCCCCGCCCCCGGCCGUGGGCUCUUUCCGGGGCGUCAUCAGAGCCAUUCACUUGUCAGGUUCCCGGGAAGUGGAAGUCGCCUGUUCUGGAUGUAAUAGGAGAGAGGAGGAGGGCGUGUUGGCGUAGGAAAAUGCGGUUUCCAUAGUGCCGGGAAAGGGCGGGCCUGGGCGGGAGCGGGGAGCUGGGAGCGGGUGCUGGCGGGCGUCCCUCCCGCGCCCCGCGCCCUUACCGCACCCAGCCCGCACCCCAAGCCCUGCUCACCCCACACCCGGGAUACCUGCUGGCGUCGCCAUCCCUAGGAGUGCGGCCGCGGGCACAGGGCCAAGCCAAAGAUGCCCUUGAACUACUGCUUUGAAUUUCUCUAUCUACGUGGCCUUUGUGACUUUCAAAGUCGAGGGCAAAUAAGCACCCGCACGUCAGUCUCCUUACAGAAUGAGGGCCGCUAGAAAGGGCAGUGAUCCGAGUUCACAGAGAGCAGGCUAGGAAUCCUGAUCGAGAGCAAUGCCGGUGACAUUAAGAAUGUCUCCAACAUGACACAGCUAUAUUUUCUGGAUGCAGAGUAGAGACAGCUGGGAGUGACCUUCUGCCAGUCCCCGUGCCUCGGGAGAGCAAAGUCAACCUGUGCUCUUUGGUGCUGUGUGCUGAUCAGGAGCAAGCAGUUGGCCUGGGUUUGCAAGUUCCUCCCGAGCAUCAAUGUCAGUCUCUGAGCACGAAGGGUUUAAACUGACUGGAUCUGUCUCCAAUACUACAGCUUCAAAGAGGAGUUUGUAACCAUCUGCCCAUGCUGUGGGGAACCUUCCAGGAGUGAACCACAAGGGACGGGCAACACAGAAGGUUCAGCUCUAUGCAUGUAACUGGCAUUCCACUCCCUGUCCUUUCUGUCCAGCCGCUUCUUAAACAUUACUGAUUCACCAGCCACCUGCGUCCGUGAUCAGUUCCUUCUUUAAGUU